rnacentral:rRNA from 1 species
GAUGAACGCUGGCGGCGUGCCUAAUACAUGCGAGUCGAGCGAACAGAUGAGGAUCUUGCUCCUCUGACGUUAGCGGCGGACGGGUGAGUAACACGUGGAUAACCUACCUAUAAGACUGGGAUAACUUCGGGAAACCGGAGCUAAUACCGGAUAAUAUAUUGAACCUCAUGGUUCAAUAGUGAAAGACGGUUUUGCUGUCACUUAUAGAUGGAUCCGCGCCGCAUUAGCUAGUUGGUAAGGUAACGGGUUACCAAGGCAACGAUGCGUAGCCGACCUGAGAGGGUGAUCGGGCACACUGGAACUGAGACACGGUACAGACUCCGGCGGGAGGCAGCAGUAGAGAAUCUUCCGCGAUGGGCGAGAGCCUGACGGAGCGAAACGGCGUGAAUGAUGAAGGUCUUAGGAUCGUAAAACUAUGUUAUUAGGGAAGAACAAAUGUGUAAGUAACUAUGCACGUAUUGACGGUACCUAAUGAGAAAGCCACGGCUAACUACGUG